GUAUCCUACGGGAGGCCAGCAGUGGGGAAUAUUGGACAAUGGGCGAAAGCCUGAUCCAGCCAUGCCGCGUGUGUGAAGAAGGCCUGCGGGUUGUAAAGCWCUUUCAGUAGGGAAGAUAAUGACGGUACCUGCAGAAGAAGCACCGGCUAACUCCGUGCCAGCAAGCCGCGGUAAUAUA
rnacentral:rRNA from 1 species